UUUCGCAUUUGGCUUACGCGCAAUGAUGCCAUUACCCACGGCGUGCAGCAGGUGAGUUUUGCCGAGGCCAGUACCGCCAUA
rnacentral:antisense_RNA from 1 species